rnacentral:rRNA from 1 species
GACGAGUCGAGUUGUUUGGGAAUGCAGCUCUAAAUGGGUGGUAAAUUCCAUCUAAGGCUAAAUACCGGCCAGAGACCGAUAGCGCACAAGUAGAGUGAUCGAAAGAUGAAAAGCACUUUGGAAAGAGAGUCAAAAAGUACGUGAAAUUGCUGAAAGGGAAGCGCUCGCGACCAGACCUGUCUGCGGGUGAUCAGCCUCCGUUCUCGGGGGUGCACUCGCCCGCAAUCAGGCCAGCAUCGGUUCGGGCGGCCGGAUAAAGGCCGCGGGAACGUAGCUCCCCUCGGGGAGCGUUAUAGCCCGCGGCGGCAUGCGGCCAGCCUGGACCGAGGACCGCGCUUCGGCUUGGAUGCUGGCGUAAUGGUCGUGAGCGGCCCGUCUUGAAACACGGACCAAGGAGUCUAAAACCUACGCGAGUGUUUGGGUGUCAAAACCCAUACGCGCAAUGAAAGUGAACGGAGGUGAGAACCUUCAAGGUGCAUCAUCGACCGAUCCUGAUGUCUUCGGAUGGAUUUGAGUAUGAGCGUAGUUUUUGGGACCCGAAAGAUGGUGAACUAUGCCUGAAUAGGGUGAAGCCAGAGGAAACUCUGGUGGAGGCUCGCAGCGGUUCUGACGUGCAAAUCGAUCGUCAAAUUUGGGUAUAGGGGUAGGUUUCUUUCCUGCACCGUAGAAAAGAUGAGCAAAUACACUAAC